rnacentral:rRNA from 1 species
AUUGAACGCUGGCGGCAUGCCUUACACAUGCAAGUCGAACGGUAACGGGCCUUCGGGUGCCGACGAGUGGCGCACGGGUGCGUAAUACAUCGGAACGUGCCCGAUCGUGGGGGAUAACGAGGCGAAAGCUUUGCUAAUACCGCAUACGAUCUACGGAUGAAAGCAGGGGACCGCAAGGCCUUGCGCGGACGGAGCGGCCGCUGGCAGAUUAGGUAGUUGGUGGGAUAAAAGCUUACCAAGCCGACGAUCUGUAGCUGGUCUGAGAGGAUGAUCAGCCACACUGGGACUGAGACACGGCCCAGACUCCUACGGGAGGCAGCAGUGGGGAAUUUUGGACAAUGGGCGCAAGCCUGAUCCAGCCAUGCCGCGUGCAGGAUGAAGGCCUUCGGGUUGUAAACUGCUUUUGUACGGAACGAAAAGCCUUCUUUUAAUACAGGAGGGUCAUGACGGUACCGUAAGAAUAAGCACCGGCUAACUACGUG